rnacentral:rRNA from 1 species
UGGGGAAUUUUGCGCAAUGGGCGAAAGCCUGACGCAGCAACGCCGCGUGUGUGAUGAAGGUCUUUGGAUUGUAAAGCACUUUCGACCGGGACGAAAACCCCUGGGCUAAUACUCCAGGGCUUGACGGUACCGGGAGAAGAAGCACCGGCUAACCCUGUGCCAGCAGCCGCGGUAAUACAGAGGGUGCAAGCGUUGUUCGGAAUUAUUGGGCGUAAAGCGCGUGUAGGCGGCUUUGCAAGUCGGAUGUGAAAGCCCUCGGCUCAACCGAGGAAGUGCGUUCGAAACUGCAGAGCUUGAGUACCGGAGAGGGUGGCGGAAUUCCCCAAGUAGAGGUGAAAUUCGUAGAUAUGGGGAGGAACACCGGUGGCGAAGGCGGCCACCUGGACGGUCACUGACGCUGAGACGCGAAAGCGUGGGUAGCAAACAGGAUUAGAUACCCUGGUACGUCCACGCCGUAAACGAU